rnacentral:rRNA from 1 species
CAGUAGCCGCGGUAAAACGGAGGGUGCAAGCGUUAAUCGGAAUUACUGGGCGUAAAGCGCACGCAGGCGGUCUGACAAGUCAGAUGUGAAAUCCCCGGGCUUAACCUGGGAACUGCAUUUGAAACUGUCAGGCUGGAGUCUUGUAGAGGGGGGUAGAAUUCCAGGUGUAGCGGUGAAAUGCGUAGAGAUCUGGAGGAAUACCGGUGGCGAAGGCGGCCCCCUGGACAAAGACUGACGCUCAGGUGCGAAAGCGUGGGGAGCAAACAGGAUUAGAGACCCCAGUAGUCCAUGUCUCUUAUAC